rnacentral:rRNA from 1 species
UACGUAGGGUGCGAGCGUUGUCCGGAAUUAUUGGGCGUAAAGAGCUCGUAGGCGGUUUGUCGCGUCGACUGUGAAAACCCGAGGCUUAACCUCGGGCCUGCAGUCGAUACGGGCAGACUAGAGUUCGGUGGGGGAGACUGGAAUUCCUGGUGUAGCGGUGAAAUGCGCAGAUAUCAGGAGGAACACCGGUGGCGAAGGCGGGUCUCUGGGCCGAUACUGACGCUGAGGAGCGAAAGCGUGGGGAGCGAACAGG